CGGACAGACGAAGUGGAGUUCUGGCGGAAGUUUGGAAGCGGUGGAUUUGAACGGACCGAUCAGCGCGCUGCAUUUGAGGACCCGUCGCACUCGGUGGUUCGCGUUUUUGUCCAGCUAUUCCGCUCAGAUUGUGCAGAGACUUCAUCAUCCAACCUUCUCCGUCUGAUCGGCUCUCGUUCUCAGAGUGAAAAUCCAGCUAUCAUCGGACCAGAGCGGACUCCAGAAACGUAUCAAUCUGCCACUAAACAGCUGGAAAGAGAGGAUGUGACAGAAGUACAGGGGAUUAAGUUCAGAUAUGACGGAUACACAAAAGGACAUCCGCGAUGCCAUUCGAGCAGCGCUUCCUGGUCUUUCACGGGAAGUUUUGGCUGCUUUAGAGGAUGUGUCCGAGAAACUCAGCACUGCAACCGCAGACGAUUUCCAGUACGUCACCGAAGGAGACUUACGGCCUGUGCCGAAGCCCAUUCGGGCCAGAAGACCGGUUGCUGCACGGGCCCAAAAUAGUAAGUAUUUUGAGAAAAAGUCUUGUGUAACUUUAGCAUAAAAACAUGUGCUUUACACCUAAAUGAAAGGUCAACAAAGACAAAUGUCAAUCAUAUUUCAUAUGUUUGUUUAUUUGACAAGGACAACGACGUACAGCUUCUCAUUCACACCUGGUAGUUCCUGUGCAGGGGACACACAACAGUCUGCUAGAAAAGGAAACACUCUACAUUAACAAUUCUCUAACAUUAUUUUACACAAGUAAUUUUGAUAUCACUAACACAAUUUAAAAGAUGAAAAGCCAAACCUAUGUAGUGGUAUUUGUAGAAGUUUGAAUGCAUUAGUUGUCAGUUGCUUGGUCGGCACAAUGGAUAGUGUCUGUGCUUUGGACACAUGAAUCCUGUGUUGGAGUCCAGCUCGUUACCUGUUAUCAUAAUUUUGUAAGCAAAAUCUGCUUAGUGGUACUUAUACAGGUUCGAAUCGAUCAGUUGUCGGUUGCUUUGUUGGCACAAUGGA